rnacentral:tRNA from 1 species
GCUCUUAUGGUGUAAUGGUUAGCACUCUGGACUUUGAAUCCAGCGAUCCGGGUUCAAGUCCCGGUAGGACCU